AAAUAACAAAUGUUAUGAAAUAUUACUAAAAUAAACUAAAUAGGCAGCAGCAGAACAGGGCCUACCCUAUAAGUAUUUCUACCUGGAAUGGGCGUUAAUGGGUGUAAAAGUGCACACUGUCUUUAAUACCCUUGUGAAAAUUAACCAUGGUUUUGAAUUUAAAAAAAAAUAUGGUUAAUAUAGUUUUACCACAGAUUAACCAUGGUUUCUGUAGUAGAACAGUGAUUACAAAUGCUUAAUUUGCUAGCCGUGAUGAACGGGCUAACAGAGCAUGGUGGGUAAUAUGCAUUUAAGUAGAUGAAUACAGAAGGACUACAUUAAAAGUAAUUUGUAUUUGCCACAUUUCCUGCUGCUAUAACUAAAUACUGGCAUGUAGGUGUCUUCAGGUAAGGACUCUUAUCAAUAGAUAUGGAUAUUGUAUGCUUCAGUUACAAUAACUUAUUUCAUAAUAACAUGCUUUACCUCAGUGUUGUCAAAAGUACCGACCGCGAUACCAUUCGGCACUGAAAUUUUAAAAACGUCCAUUUCCCGCUAAAAUUUGAGCGGAUUCUUAAACAGCGCUGAUUGGUCAUCCUGUUCACGCGCUCAACAGAUGGUCUGUGAUUGGCUUGUUCACGCUCUUCACCGACCCACAUAGCAAGCACACUCGGGCCGAUUCUGGCUGAAAUGCGGCACUGUCGGCUCAGUCACGACGUCGGUGAGAAGAUAAUGGGCCAGAGCCGCGCCGACUCUACAAAACACUUCUGGCUGACAGACGGCUUUUUCUCUCUGGGCCGAUCUUGGCUGAAAGCUGUUGUACGUGCGGCAGGUCCACACUCGGUGUAGUUGCGUGUAUCUACCUUCGGCCCGAGCUGGUUUUGUCUCCGGCGGCCGCUGCUGGAAUGAAGAUCAGCCGCUGAGAGAAAGAUUUGGCGGUUAAUCCUGAGGAGAUUUCGGCGGACACAGUUCUCAAGAGGAAUACUUCAGCUGCAAAAAGAAAUUCUGAGCUGCUGCAUGAACAUUCAUCAAACAUAUAAGGCUGCAAUUUGGAAAAAACCUUCAAGCUAAUGCUGCUGAAAUGGAGGUCAAGGGGACUAUGAAGAGGUGGCUCCAGCUGAUCAAAAGGGUGGACUUCAGGAGGCAGACACACUCUGUGAGUUUAAAAGACCAUCUCUUUAACCUUCAAUACACAUGACACACUAUCACAUUUCUAUAAUUCAAAUCUCUUAAAGGAUUUGUAUGCUGCACCAAUUAGGGUAAGCAGCAACACUUCCUAUAAUAUCUAAUGUACAUGUUAAUUUUUAAGAAGAAUGACAUCAUUGCUUAUAUUAGUUGCUUAUAUACUGUCUCACCCUUAUCCCUGGGUUACAAUAAUCAGCUGAUCCAGUCGGUAUCCAGACCAGGUGGUGGACCUGCACCCAGGAACAACCACAACACAUCCCUGACUGUCAGCGGAGACCAUGUCAGCUAGAUGACAGAUCCCUGUGAAGACCUCAUUGAUGGCCCCAGCACAGAUCCUCAGCAAAGACUACGAGAACCAGACAAGCCCUCUGCGCAGACCCUUUUUACCAGCUUCACCUGCUGGCGUGAUAUUACUUCAAGCAGAAGAAGUUGGAUGAAAUAUUCUGAAUGAUAUCAAUCCACAAUCUGACUUGUGAUGCAGCCUGGAAUAAUCACACCACGUUCAUUCGUUUGGCCAGACGAGACUGUUUCCUGACUGAGCCGGGUCUUGUUUGGGUUUGGGUUCCUUGUCACUGUUGCAUUUUGUCUUGCUUAGAUGAAGACACCUAAUAUUCAGCAAUAUUAUUGACUUGUCUGCACUGACACCAUUUGAUAAGAACUGAACUGAAUUAUGACACAAAAUGUUUUAUAUAU